rnacentral:rRNA from 1 species
AGUGAACGCUGGCGGUAGGCCUAACACAUGCAAGUCGAACGGCAGCACAGUAAGAGCUUGCUCUUACGGGUGGCGAGUGGCGGACGGGUGAGGAAUACAUCGGAAUCUACUUUUUCGUGGGGGAUAACGUAGGGAAACUUACGCUACUACCGCAUACGACCUACGGGUGAAAGCAGGGGAUCUUCGGACUUUGCGCGAUUGAAUGAGCCGAUGUCGGAUUAGCUAGUUGGCGGGGUAAAGGCCCACCAAGGCGACGAUCCGUAGCUGGUCUGAGAGGAUGAUCAGCCACACUGGAACUGAGACACGGUCCAGACUCCUACGGGAGGCAGCAGUGGGGAAUAUUGGACAAUGGGCGCAAGCCUGAUCCAGCCAUACCGCGUGGGUGAAGAAGGCCUUCGGGUUGUAAAGCCCUUUUGUUGGGAAAGAAAAGCAGCAGGUUAAUACCCCGCUGUUCUGACGGUACCCAAAGAAUAAGCACCGGCUAACUUCGUG